UACGUAGGGGGCAAGCGUUGUCCGGAAUCAUUGGGCGUAAAGGGCGCGUAGGCGGCCAUUCAAGUGACGGGUGAAAGCCCUCGGCUUAACCGAGGAACUGCCUGUCAGACUGGAUGGCUUGAGACCGGGAGAGGUGAGUGGAAUUCCCAGUGUAGCGGUGAAAUGCGUAGAUAUUGGGAGGAACACCAGUGGCGAAGGCGGCUCACUGGACCGGAACUGACGCUAAGGCGCGAAAGCGUGGGGAGCGAACAGG
rnacentral:rRNA from 1 species